UAUAGUAAUCAAGAGUAUGUACAUUUAAGUCUUCUUCUUCCAUCCUGAUAAGAGUUUUCACAGAUAAGGUCAUCCUCCCCUCUUCCCACUACACAGAUGGAGAUACCUUUACAAAUGUAAAUAUUUGGUAAACAGAACUUUGUUAAGAAUGGGCUUAGCCAGGAUCCUGCCAGUCUGUCCACACUCAGAGUUAAAUUUCUUUAGGCAGUUAUUGAGGAGGUCAAAUGUCCGUCACAGAAAAUAAUCAAGGUAAAGAGACAUAUUUUAGGAUGGCCAAAUCUUGAUCUCCCACACUGUCUUUCUAGCCAUGUUUACACAUGUGUGUGCUUCUCUGCAUCUCUCUAUCUCAUGCUGUCUUUCUCUGCUGUAUAUGAGCGUGUGAAUUCCCUGUCUUUCUCUCUUUCUGUCUCCAUUUCUUCGUCUCUGUCUGACUGUCCACCUGUCUCCCAUUUCUUCCCUCUCGCUGGCUCUGAUGAGGCUUCUGUUCACAAGGUCCUCACUGCUCCUUCUUGGUACAGAACCAGGAGAUGGUUCGUCACCUUACCACCCGCAGAAGCAUGACAGACAAGUCUCCCAGCUCAGCCUCUGCAGACGGAGACGGGCACUAAGAGAUGACAGAACAUCACGGCUUCACUCUGUCUGUUCUUUAUAGUCUCAACUACAGAGAGGGGCUCAGAGUGCUCUGGGGUGCUAGGUGAGAACUUGUGCUUUGGAGUUUGGCAAAUCCCAGCUCAGCCACGGACCAGCUGUGUGACCUCAGCUUCAAGUUUUCCACGGAGAGGCUAAAGACUCGCCUGUUGUAUAUUCUGCUGUGCAAGUCGUGAAGACACAUUUGAUCAAGAAGACUUGCUGCACGAUACAUAAAGCCCACCAGCUACCAUCUUCCUGCAGUGAGCCCUGGAGGGGGACCAACAGGUAGCUGGAUUCUGAAAGCACGUAUUAUCAGGUGAGCAUGCUAUCAGAGGCCACAAAACAGAAUUUAAAUGGUGAGCCAGGCAGAAGUCAGAGAUAUCUGAUGCCCAGCACUGGAACUGAAAAUCAUUAUGUAAGUUGUAGCAAAACCCUAGUUGUUCUCUGACUGAAGUUUACAGCUGUCUUGCAGUCUUAUAAAUCAUAACUUAAGGGAUCUGAGGGCACAGGGAGGGAAAUGCAAUGAAGUUGUCACGAGAGUCACCUCCAGAGGCUGGCAUGCUCCAGAGUGCCAGCUCCAGACAACAAGCAAAUGGACCUCAGAGUUGGUUCCUCCUCCUGGGACUUUCUGGACAGAGGAGAAUCCUGCACAUGAUAAACCACAGGCCUGUGGCCAGUGUUCAUGAGUUUUGGGGCUCCUUGGAUAUUUCUGCUAUUAAUGGAACUUCACAUGUGCAAAACACAUUUAAUCCAUUUUUGUUGGUCAUUUUUGCUUGUUUGUUUUAAUCAAUGUUUUAGGAGUUUAGUUUUUACACUCAAAGGUUCCUUUUUAGUUAGAUAAGGUGAAAUUUUAGCUUCAUUUAUGGAAGGUGGUGACUGGCUGAAGCAGUGCCAAAGUGACUGUGACCGUGGGCAUUGACCUCUGUGUGUUCCCAUCUUGGCUGUGCCCCUAGGCGGCCUUUGUCUCAACUCUACCCUCCAGCGGGUAAGAAACAGAACGAGCAGAUGUGCGUAUAGUAAGAGAAGCAUCGCAGGGAAUCGGCCUGUGCAGAGGCAGGGGCUGGGGAGGCGAGCCUGAAGUCCACAAGGGAGGCCAUCAGGACGGGGAACCGGAAACUGCAACAGGAGGGGACGUCGCAGUAAACGGGCUGAAGUCUUCUUUCUUCAGGGAAACCUCAGUUCUGCCCCUAACAACUUAUCUCCACAUCUGUGAUUUUGUCCAAUUUAAUGAGCUCUUUUUAUCCCAAAUUCCUCAGGGCUUCCCUGCCUUAGUGGACAUAUUAAAUACUUAUUCACAUUUGUUUAAUCUCCCUGGUGAGAGUGGACUCUUCCAAGCUGGGACUCUGUUCCACUGGAUUGAUUGUGUCUUAAUGCCCAGAAUAGAGAUGUGACAAGAGUAUAUGUUUGGGUAACACUUGGUGCACAAAUGAAUAAAUGAGUGAAUGAAUGAAUACAAUUCUAUCCAGUGGGAAAAACACACACAUGUAAAACAGGUGACUGCUUCACCUUCCCCAGCUCAAUUACCAUGUUUUCAAAUUUCCACUCCAGAUUUUCUGUUCUGUUGACAAGUAGCUGGUAGUUCCAAAUUUACUAUCAAUGAAACCAAAUCAUCUGCAUAUAAAAGACAAGAAAAAUAGUACUUAGCACAUAGAUCGUUGAGAAGGUUAAGUUAGCACUGUAAUUACACGUGCCGUUUCUCUUCACGCUCGUGCGGCUCCUCUUCUAAUACUGAAGCUCAGAGGAAUGUGACCUCUGUCUGUGGCCUGGUCUCUAUUAAGAGUGAGCCAAGAAAAGACAGAAUGAGCAGGACCAGAAUUUCAAGAAAGAACUGUGUCUUUGUGGAAGUAAAGAACAUGCCUAAAUAAUUCAUUUGCAAAGUAAGCGUUCUCUCUGUCAAAAAUAUGCACUCUAAGACCUAUUGAAUGAGGCGGCCUGCUUUUGCCAAUCUGGGAUUAAAACUUAGUGUCCCUUGCCCUUUGUGCAUGCUCUUUUAUUCCAGGUGUGUGACAAGCUCUGGCACAUUGGAUUGUGUUCUCUAAGAGGUGUUCGUGGUGGUGCUGAGGAUCCUGGAAAUGGACCCACGGGAGAGGCCAUCACAGAAAGUGUCAGUGUUUACCUGGUGAUGAGAAAAAGGGGAGGCAUGGAAGCUCUUCUUAAGGAUUAGAAGAGUCAUC